CCUACGGGAGGCAGCAGUGAGGAAUAUUGGUCAAUGGACGAGAGCCUGAACCAGCCAAGUAGCGUGAAGGAUGACUGCCCUAUGGGUUGUAAACUUCUUUUAUAUGGGAGUAAAAUGUUCCAAGUGUGGGUUUUUGUAUGUACCAUAUUAAUUAAGAUAGGCUAACUCCAUGCCAGCAGCCGCGGUAAUACGGAGUAUACGUGCGUUAUCCGGAUUUAUUGGGUGUAAAGGGAGCGUAGGUGGAUUGUUAAGUCAGUUGUGAAAGUUUGCGGCGCAACCGUAAAAUUGCAGUUGAAACUGGCAGUCUUGAGUACAGUAGAGGUGGGCGGAAUUCGUGGUGUAGCGGUGAAAUGCUUAGAGAUAACGAAGAACUCCGAUUGCGAAGGCAGCUCACUGGACUGCAACUGACACUGAGGUGCGAAAGUGUGGGUAUCAAACAGGAUUAGAUACCCGGGUAGUC
rnacentral:rRNA from 1 species